GGGGCUUCAGGCCAAUUGCUCAGCUCCGCCCCACCCCUGCUGGGCAGGCCUGGGCCCCUUCUCUGGGCCUCCUUCUGCCCGGAGCCCCCAUCUGUCCCCUUCUCCUCUUGCUGCCCCAGGGGUCUCGGAGCCCCUCCCCCAUCAGUCUUGCUGUCCCUGGAAGGAGGGAAACUGAGGCCAGAGGGUCCCCAGGGAGUCCAGAGGGCAUCCUAUUGCCUCCACGGGGCCUGGAGACAACGGCCUCACUCGAGCAGAUCCACUCCUCCUCGAGACCCAGCCAGGUCUCAGCCACAACUCCUGACCUUUGCGUGCGCUGUGGUUCCCUGGCCUGGCCGCUCUUCCGUCCCAGAAUGCGUGGAAUUUAGAACCAGCCCCUAGGCCUGGCUCAGAGGAUGCGGGCAGGGGUCCGUGGAAUCUCUCCAGGACAGGUCAUUCCGCUCCUGAGCAGCCCUCUCCUCGGGCACCGCGGGGAACACCUCCACCUCGCUCCACUGCCCAACUGGGGACCCCCACCCCCAACGGUCUGUAAGAGCUUGGCUCUGGAAUCCUCAUCUGUUCCUUCCACGUCACCGAGACUUUUCUGGCUUCCAGCCUGGCUUGAACAGCGGUGGGGGUUGGUCGCCAGGACCCCGCUGGGAGCUCACCAUCCCUUUGUGGCCGCCAUCUGUCCUUGUCAAUCUCGAGACUCCCGCCCCCAGGGGCCACCAAU
ensembl:lncRNA